UACGAAGGGGGCUAGCGUUGUUCGGAUUUACUGGGCGUAAAGCGCACGUAGGCGGGUCGUUAAGUCAGGGGUGAAAUCCCGGAGCUCAACUCCGGAACUGCCUUUGAUACUGGCGACCUUGAGGCUGGAAGAGGUUAGUGGAAUUCCCAGUGUAGAGGUGAAAUUCGUAGAUAUUGGGAAGAACACCAGUGGCGAAGGCGGCUAACUGGUCCAGAUCUGACGCUGAGGUGCGAAAGCGUGGGGAGCAAACGGG
rnacentral:rRNA from 1 species